UGGGUGACGAGCGGCGGACGGGUGAGUAAUGUCUGGGAAACUGCCUGAUGGAGGGGGAUAACUACUGGAAACGGUAGCUAAUACCGCAUAACGUCGCAAGACCAAAGAGGGGGACCUUCGGGCCUCUUGCCAUCAGAUGUGCCCAGAUGGGAUUAGCUAGUAGGUGGGGUAAUGGCUCACCUAGGCGACGAUCCCUAGCUGGUCUGAGAGGAUGACCAGCCACACUGGAACUGAGACACGGUCCAGACUCCUACGGGAGGCAGCAGUGGGGAAUAUUGCACAAUGGGCGCAAGCCUGAUGCAGCCAUGCCGCGUGUGUGAAGAAGGCCUUCGGGUUGUAAAGCACUUUCAGCGAGGAGGAAGGUGGUGAGCUUAAUACGCUCAUCAAUUGACGUUACUCGCAGAAGAAGCACCGGCUAACUCCGUGCCAGCAGCCGCGGUAAUACGGAGGGUGCAAGCGUUAAUCGGAAUUACUGGGCGUAAAGCGCACGCAGGCGGUUUGUUAAGUCAGAUGUGAAAUCCCCGGGCUCAACCUGGGAACUGCAUUUGAAACUGGCAAGCUAGAGUCUCGUAGAGGGGGGUAGAAUUCCAGGUGUAGCGGUGAAAUGCGUAGAGAUCUGG
rnacentral:rRNA from 1 species